GGUCAAGGGAUGGGAAUCUCGAACCCACGACCUUCCGCUUACCGGGCAGAUGCCAUGACCACUAGGCUACCCUGGAC